ACAUCGUGCCCAUGCAAAUAACAGCAUUCCCCACCACGGAGCAUUUCUCAGCCCUCAGCCCUUAUCUCCGCUUUCUGCAGUGCCGGUGGAACCUCAGAACACAGCCGGGCCAUCGUGUGUGGCAUCACCCCAUUACCAACUGCUGUCACACGGGGAGAGGAGAGGAGAGGAGAGGAGAGGAGGAGAGGAGAGGAGAGGAGAGGAGAGGAGAGGAGAGGAGAGGAGAGGAGAGGAGAGGAGAGGAGGAAAACACGCUCGGAGCCAUCUGCUCCCCAUGCUAUCUCCAGCCCUUUCUGACAGAAGCGCAGCACAUCUCCUCACGGCAGACGCAGUGUUGUAAAAAGGAUCAGAGCAAUAGAAGAAUGAAGUCGGGAGAUGCAAAAGUACAAAUCCACCGCACAGCAGCUCUGGGAGCAGAUACACAAAAUGUUGUGAUCACAUCCAAGUUUCCCAAACAGCUGUUGCAAUAAUUUGGCAGUUCAGCUGAGCUUCGGAUUUCCAUCUCCAGCUACAAUAAAAUUCACGAUGCUUUACCUGAUUUCCCUCAGCCAGCCCAAAAGGCAUCAGCAGAUUCCUAUUUCCAUUCCAUCACCACUCAGAACGCUGGCUGCAAAGCUACCAGAAAAAAAUCAAUCCAUCUCAUUCUUAGUAUUCUCUAUUACACUUCCAGCAAGUUGUUUCAAUUACCUUUUAUCCAGCUUAGAAGAGGUAGAGAUAAUUAGUAAUGCACAGCCUCCUCCUGCAAUGCUGUGCACACGUGGAUGAUUAUUGACCCCCUUUUGGAGCCAAGAGCAGCUCAAGGACUUCGCCUUCUUAGCUCUCCUCUGCGACUAGACGUGGAAAAUGGAAACUAGAGAGGAUGUAAAGGCUCUGUGAGAUCUGCAAGGGCGCACCGCAACGGUGGACUCCCAGGAAAACAGCACACACCUGCCAGCCAACCACGAUGCUAUGCUAACAUACCUCCUGGCAUCUUUCUAAGUGAAAGAUUCUAACUAAAUGUGGGAUUUUGUAAACCGCUGGUAACCGUUGUUCAAUGCUGCGGUUGCAGCAGAACAGAUGAUCUGCAGUGGCUCACCUUGGAUUUUCCCUGGCUGCUGGGCAUGGGUGAGCACAUUGACUGCAGGCUGCUGCGCUGUGUCUGCAUGGCUGAGUCUUCCUUCCAGAGCACGUGUGCAACACAGGAAGAGAAAUCCAUGUGAAAUGUCAUAACCCACCAUAGGAAAAUGCCUUUGGACCAGCUGUGAGGCCGUUCAGUGGUCAGCAGGGGCACAGGAUAUGGCCUGUCUGAAUCAGCAGCAGGCUGGAACGUUCUGUAUGCAAAUAAAACUUUCAUUAUAUAUAUAUGCACAUAUGUAUAUCUGUUUGUUUUACAGCAGAUCUAGUUGCCUAAAGCAAAUCUGUACAUAAAUAUGAGAUAAAUACAUAUUCCUCCUU
rnacentral:lncRNA from 7 species